rnacentral:misc_RNA from 1 species
CUGGAUCGGACCUCGUGUGAGUCACACUUUGCGUCGAAGAUUCCGAUACUUACACGCCACUAGACGACAAAGAGCAACGGGGUAACGAAAGAAGAAGAGAUACAGAGAAGAGGAGAGGAAGAUAAGAAGAAAAAUGGAAAGAUAGAAAGAAAGAACCGAGGAGAUUCGCCUCUGAUUUCGGACACGCACCUUGCGCACUUGUCGGCGAGAGGAACCAGAGGGAUGGCCCUACUGUCCAUCAGGGUUCUCCGGAAAGCUGCUAGCAGAUGGCCAGCAGAUGUCUACCAUCUUGCCCUGAUUUCUUCCUCGCGCCGACCUCGCCGAUGCCGCAAAGAAACAACAACCGGCGUUGUUUUUAUUCUUGGCCACAUCUUCCC